rnacentral:lncRNA from 1 species
AUCUCCACUCUAUCUCUCUCAAUCUAGUAGAACUUAGAAGAACUAAUUCUACUCUCACAUUGGAUGCUAAGCCCUAAGUCUAUUUAAUGGAAAGGUUAUCCUUCGAGGGCACCUCUCAACUCUAUGAUGACUUGUUCUCCUCCAGGGGCCAGGGGGUCUGCUUAUAUAGUCCCCUCAAGUGAAUCUGGGCCGUUGGAUCAAAUCGACAUUUAUUGAAUGGUUAUCCUUUAUCCUUUAGGUCGGUGGAGCGUAAUCCGCGAGACGGGUCCUGAUUGGACUCUGCACUAGGGCGGGCGCCCUAGGGGGGAGGGCGGGCGCCCUACCCCCGGGCCUGUUCGCCUUCCCGUUCGUUCCCGAGGCUUCUGGAGUCUUCUAGAUGAUAGAAAAUUGCGUGGCACGUUAAUAUCUCUAUGUAAACCCGAUGUGUGGGCCUUUCUUCCAUAUUUCGUGAUAACCCCCUGCAGAAAUAGACAAACACCAAAACUUGUGGAAUUCUGUCAGAUAAAACCCUAAGUCUGGGUGUUGGUUGCAUUUGGAUCCUUUUCUUUAUUUAUUUGAUGAUUAUAUUUGGUACUUAAGGACCGUCAACAAACUCCCCCAAGCUUACCUUUUGCUCGUCCCUGAGCAAGGAUGUACUCAAGAGUUUCUACAAUGGUUUCAUGCCUCAAAAGUACACAUGCGUUCAAGCAAGAUCUCAUCUCUGAGUUGUAGUAAACUGUUAAGACUUAAAACUUACUCAUUUUACCUUUCACCAUGGGGCUUGCAACCAUCACUUUUGUCUUGAGCAGUUAAAAGAUAGAACGGUCAAGCCAAGCGCCAUGUCUCUUGUUCUUUGAUCAGCUAUAGCUCUGGAGUUUUUGCAGAUUUUCAAAUAAAACUCAGGGAUUCCUUGUAUGACUCUCUCAAAUCUCUCUUUUGUGGUAUUUCUGGAUCCUUUCCAAGGCAGUAAUGGUAUAUGCCUUCUCUCUCACCCUACUCUAAUAAGGUUUUGAUAUCUGGAGCUCAUAUGUGGGAGACAGAUAAUACAUACUUACAAGACAUUUAUUGCAUAGUGAAACCAUGGAUCCAGAAGAACAAGUCAAUAAGUCAAAUCAAGAUGUGCAUGUGUGGCGAGUGAAUGGUGUAUGGUGAUGAUGGUGAUAACAAUGGUGGAAGUCUAAUUCUACUUUUGCUGUUUUGCGGGGAUACAUACCUUUCUUGCUCUUUGAAGCUUUUUGAGGAGAAUGAGAUGCUCUAUAUUUUCUUUUUCUUUCCUCUCAGGUGGGUAUCUUGUACCCCUAAUUCUACUGUCGAACACUUGUCUAUUUUUACCUCUCGUCUCACUUUUUCUUUUCUUUGAGGUUCCGGGCACUUGCCUCUUUUUAUUUCCUCGUAUUCUUUCUCUCUUUCUUUUUUCUUUUUUUUCUUCUUUUUUUAAAGCACUCAUCUCCUGAAAUAAUAUAGCAAGUGGUAGUAACUAAGAUAACUUGAGCAUUUAUUUCACAUGGAAAAAUAGAAAUAGGAGAAUGUUUUUAGCUAUUCUCUCCUGAAUUAGGAGUAGAAUACUUUUGGGUGGCUCUAGAGAUGGAAAUGAGUGGACGCGUACUUCUGGAGUAGAAGCAGAAUGUGUGAGUGAACGUGCAAGUGAAUCUUGAUUUUAACCGCAUGACAAGCUCCUAAGGGUCUACACAGCUUGACCACACUCAAUGCUCAUAAGCAGUAAAAGUAAAUAUGUGGCUCAAAGUCUAGCAAGCAUGUAUAUAUGGCUGUGGUAGGAAUUUAAACUCUCAUCAUAUAGGAACUCAUCAUGUGUUAUUUUAAAGAUUUUCAAAGAUAAAAUUCUCCAGAAUUCUAGCAUCUCUAGGAACAGAUAAACAACAGCUCAACCUUCCCAUAUCAUAUCCGUUAACAACUUAGACUUCAGAUCAAGUACUCUCUCCACAAGUUUAGGUUUUAGAGUAGGUUUAAAUUAUAACAGUUAUGCCUAAACUUGAGUGAGAUUUCAAUUUUGAGAACUAGUCAUGGCAGAGCAACUAUUUAUCAUAUCCAUGUAAGAGUUUAUCAUUUAAGUUCAGUUUGGCCUAGACACUUUAUUUAUUUAUUUAGCAAACUAAACAAAGAUAUAUAUAAGCACAAAAUUUUUAUUUGGGUUUUCAUGAUUAUGCAUCUUUUUAUUAUUUGAGUAAAGUAUAAAUGCGAGUAGAAACACUUAGCUGGAUAAAUGGUGGUGCUCUCCCCCAAGCUGAAUUUUGACGUAAUUUCUUCUGAUGUAGCUAGCAGGUGACAGAGGUGUAUUUGAAUGUUGGUAGCACCGUGACAGCGAUUAGGAUGUCCUCCGUCUGCUAGUCUUCUUUGAUCCUUGAAUUCUGUGGAGCUCAAAUAGACAACAAAGCUUUGUGGAACUAGUUAAGUGUUAGCAUAAAAUCUCUUAGCCUUUAUCAUAUUGACAUUCCUCCUAAUAAAUUUUAUUUAUUUAGCAGGAUCAUGCACUUAUUAUUUUUAUAUUUUUAUUGUAAGAUGAAAACAUAUUUAUUUCAUGCCACCACAGUCAAUAUACCUAUGGGUUUUAAACCACAAGUCUCCUCACAUGGGGCUUUAGAUUUUAUGAUGCAGUGCAAUGAACAAAUAUUUUUGUUUUAUUUUCUAAUGCUAAUGUGGAAAAGUAAAUAUGCUAAUGCAAGUGAUGGAAUAAAAAGGAAAAGGAAUGCAGAAAAGAUAAAUAUGGAUAAAUACCAAUUUUACCUUCCGUCAAGGAUCCAAUGUUUUAAGUCUUCCAGAUAAGACUUCUCCGUUUUCUCAGUCGUCCUGGGAUUCGCUGGAUGGCGUAGUCGGUGGUUCUGGCGGCGCCUCCUCUUCGUGUAUAACUAUCUUCUCUCUCCACACCUGACUCGGUGCUACGGCCUCCUCAGGACAGUUCUCUUCAAGCUGUAUGUCUUCAGACCUUACCACUUCUUCUUCGUAGUGUGCCCAUCCGUCCUUGAUGAUUUGCCUCCUCUGGUUGCGGUUGCCUCGUCUUCUUCUUGUCCUGACCUGCUUAGGGUCUUUAACUAUAUAGUUAGGGUCAGUAAAAUAGCGGUGUACUGUAGCACCCGGUUUUAAGAACAAAACCAGACACACACACCAUAUGUGAGCCCAGGAAGUCAAAUCUCACAUAUAGCCACAAAUAGGGGUAAUAUCAAUAGACAAUGCUUAUAUAUAACGAACUUAGUAAAAAAGAUAUAACCUUAGGUAGCAAACAACGGAAAGUCACUCCGUUCUUCAGGCGAAAGCUCCAAAUCCACAGGGACAACUGACUGGUUGAGCACAAGCCUAAACUCUUCUCCAAACUUGCAAUCUGGUACCCAUCCGGGAUUUUUAUCCAAAUAAAAUGUAAAGGCAAGCGUAAGUACAUCUCAUACUCAGCAAGAAUAACAUAGGGUUCAUGAGACUCAAAGGCUAGACACUGGUUGAACUGCAUGUAGCUUUUAGUUGUCACAAUUUUAGCAUAUGAGUAGCAUCAAGUUGUCAAAUCCCAUAGUAAACUCAUGAUCAAGUAAAGUGAAUAAAGAAUAGC